CCUUGUACCACACCGCCCCGUCACGACCAUGGGAGCGGGUUCUGCCAGAAGUAGUUAGCCUAACCGCAAGGAGGGCGAUUACCACGGCAGGGUUCGUGACUGGGGUG
rnacentral:rRNA from 1 species